UGCAAGUCGAGCGAAUCGACGGGAGCUUGCUCCCUGAGAUUAGCGGCGGACGGGUGAGUAACACGUGGGCAACCUGCCUAUAAGACUGGGAUAACUUCGGGAAACCGGAGCUAAUACCGGAUACGUUCUUUUCUCGCAUGAGAGAAGAUGGAAAGACGGUUUACGCUGUCACUUAUAGAUGGGCCCGCGGCGCAUUAGCUAGUUGGUGAGGUAAUGGCUCACCAAGGCGACGAUGCGUAGCCGACCUGAGAGGGUGAUCGGCCACACUGGGACUGAGACACGGCCCAGACUCCUACGGGAGGCAGCAGUAGGGAAUCUUCCGCAAUGGACGAAAGUCUGACGGAGCAACGCCGCGUGAACGAAGAAGGCCUUCGGGUCGUAAAGUUCUGUUGUUAGGGAAGAACAAGUACCAGAGUAACUGCUGGUACCUUGACGGUACCUAACCAGAAAGCCACGGCUAACUACGUGCCAGCAGCCGCGGUAAUACGUAGGUGGCAAGCGUUGUCCGGAAUUAUUGGGCGUAAAGCGCGCGCAGGUGGUUCCUUAAGUCUGAUGUGAAAGCCCACGGCUCAACCGUGGAGGGUCAUUGGAAACUGGGGAACUUGAGUGCAGAAGAGGAAGUGGAAUUCCAAGUGUAGCGGUGAAAUGCGUAGAGAUUUGGAGGAACACCAGUGGCGAA
rnacentral:rRNA from 2 species